rnacentral:tRNA from 1 species
AUUUAAAUAGUUUAUAUGUAAAAAUGUUGAUUUGUGGAAUCAAAGAUAUGAUUCUAUCAUUUUAAAUA